UUUUAUCAGAGAGUUUGAUCCUGGCUCAGGAUGAACGCUGGCGGCGUGCUUAACACAUGCAAGUCGAACGGGAAACCUUUUAUUGAAGCUUCGGCAGAUUUAGAUUGUUUCUAGUGGCGGACGGGUGAGUAACGCGUGGGUAACCUGCCUUAUACAGGGGGAUAACAGUCAGAAAUGACUGCUAAUACCGCAUAAGCGCACAGAGCUGCAUGGCUCGGUGUGAAAAACU
rnacentral:rRNA from 2 species